GUUAUCUGUCACACACACGGAGCCUCAAUAAACUGAUGUGGCAGAGAGUGGCAUAACCAGGCUUGGUGUCACCCGGUGCGGUAACUCAUGGUGUGGGGAAAACAUGACAUUCCUGCAAGAGAGGAACUGAUUGCUGCAGCUCAGCCCUUGACAACUCAAGUACAUAAGGAAUCCAUCAUAUGUUUAUACUUAUGCCAUAUUCUGAUCAUCCACAAUAUAUGUAGCAAAUGCCAUUUCCUAAUAAACAAGCACCAUAGCAUAA